rnacentral:misc_RNA from 1 species
UUGACCCCAAAUCGAUUCAGAAACCAAA